rnacentral:rRNA from 1 species
GACGAACGCUGGCGGCGUGCCUAAUACAUGCAAGUCGAGCGAAUCGAUGGGAGCUUGCUCCCUGAGAUUAGCGGCGGACGGGUGAGUAACACGUGGGUAACCUGCCUGUAAGACUGGAUAACUUCGGGAAACCGGAGCUAGUACCGGAUACGUCCUCUUUCGCGCCUGCGAGAGGGGAGAAAGACGGUCUUUAAGGCCGUCGCUCAAAGAGGGGCCCGCGGCGCAUUAGCUGGUUGGUGGGGCAAGGGCCUACCAAGGCGACGAUGCGUUGCCGACCUGAGAGGGUGAUCGGCCACACUGGGACUGAGACACGGCCCAGACUCCUGCGGGAGGCAGCAGUAGGGAAUCAUCCGCAAUGGGCGAAAGCCUGACGGUGCAACGCCGCGUGAGUGAGGAAGGUUUUCGGAUCGUAAAGCUCUGUUGUGAGGGAAGAACAGCAUCCGGAGGAAAUGCCGGAGGUUUGCCGGUACCUCACCAGAAAGCCCCGGCUAACUACGUGCCAGCCGCCGCAGUAAUAC